rnacentral:rRNA from 1 species
GAUGAACGCUGGCGGCGUGCCUAAUACAUGCAAGUCGAGCGAACGGACGAGAAGCUUGCUUCUCUGAUGUUAGCGGCUGACGGGUGAGUAACACGUGGAUAACCUACCUAUAAGACUGGGAUAACUUCGUGAAACCGGAGCUAAUACCGGAUAAUAUUUUGAACCGCAUGGUUCAAAAGUGAAAGACGGUCUUGCUGUCACUUAUAGAUGGAUCCGCGCUGCAUUAGCUAGUUGGUAAGGUAACGGCUUACCAAGGCAACGAUGCAUAGCCGACCUGAGAGGGUGAUCGGCGAAACGGGAACUGAGACACGGACCAGAGUCCGACGGGAGGCAGCAGUAGGGAAUGUGCCGCAAUGGGCGAAAGCAUGACGGAGAAAAGCCGCGUGAGUGAUGAAGGUGUUCGGAUCGUAAAACUCUGUUAUUAGGGAAGAAAAUAUGUGAAAGAAACAGGGCACAUAAUGACGGUACCUAAACAGAAAGCAACGGCUAACUACGUG